rnacentral:rRNA from 1 species
GACGUAGGAGGCGAGCGUUGUCCGGAUUCAUUGGGCGUAAAGAGCACGCAGGCGGUUUGGCAAGUCGGAUGUGAAAACCCGGAGCUCAACUCCGGACCUGCAUCCGAAACUGCCCGACUAGAGGUAGGUAGGGGAGAUCGGAAUUCCUGGUGUAGCGGUGAAAUGCGCAGAUAUCAGGAGGAACACCGAUGGCGAAGGCAGGUCUCUGGGCCACUACUGACGCUGAGAAGCGAAAGCAUGGGGAGCGAACAGG